GCCGCUUUAGCUCAGUUGGUAGAGCAUAUCAUUCGUAAUGAUAGGGUCAGGUGUUCGAGUCACCUAAGCGGCACCA
rnacentral:tRNA from 1 species